CAGUCGCCGCGGGAAUACGGAGGGCGCGAGCGUUACCCGGAUUUACUGGGCGUAAAGGGCGUGUAGGCGGCCUGGGGCGUCCCAUGUGAAAGGCCACGGCUCAACCGUGGAGGAGCGUGGGAUACGCUCAGGCUAGAGGGUGGGAGAGGGUGGUGGAAUUCCCGGAGUAGCGGUGAAAUGCGCAGAUACCGGGAGGAACGCCGAUGGCGAAGGCAGCCACCUGGUCCACUUCUGACGCUGAGGCGCGAAAGCGUGGGGAGCAAACCGGAUUAGAUACCCCGGUAGUCCCUGUCUCUUAUAC
rnacentral:rRNA from 1 species